CGUUAUUUCAUCACCAGAGAGUUUGUGGAGCUGUGCACAUCUCUAAGGCAUUUCCCAAGCGUACUAGGUGGGGAUUUAAACGGCUUCUUGUUUGUAGAUCUCGGGGGCCGAGAGCCAGGAGCCACCUGUUCAACUCCACUGAGCUACAACUCCCACAGUGCACCAGGCUACAAGUCGUCCUCCAGCAUGCGGCCGGGACGCAGGCCAAAGGGAUUGGUCUCAGAGGAAGACUUGCGCCAUCAUUCCCCAGAUGCUGGCUUUGGGAGCGGUGUCCAUGGAAACACAGGCCACCGGCCCAGCUCUACCGAAUUCACCUCCGGCAGCAAUUCUCCCGUCAGCUCCAAAGGUGUGUGUGUGUGUGUGUGUGUGUGUGUGUGUGGUCUAUUUCAUAUGCAUGCACAGCCACUUCAUUAGCCAGCUAUGGAAACUGCCACCCCUGCACUCUCUCUCUCUCUCUCUCUCUCUCUCUGUCUCAAGUACUGUUGAGACAGUAAUUGUUUCUCAGAGUGAAACAAAUGUCUUUACUAGAACAUUUGCAGAGGCAGCUCUGUUGUCAAGCAACCGUUAUUUUAUCAUGAAUUCAGUUAUUUAAUGAAUCAACUAAUAAAUUAUUUAAAUAGUCAAAUUAUUCAUUAUUUAAGGCAUUUAAAUAGUUUUGUGAUUAUGAUGGUCUAUAUUGUGGUACAAUACCGCUGUUCAAACGUUUAUGCUCGGUAAGAUUUUAUUUAUAAAGAAAUAAAUACAUUUAAUCAUCAAGAAUGUAUGAAAUUGACCCAAAGUGACAGUGAGGAUAUGUAGGCCUAUGAUGUCAUAUAAAUGCUGUUAGUAAUCAAAGAAUCCUGAAAAAAAAAAAAAAAAGUAUCAUGGUUUCCACGAAAAUAUUGAACAGCGUGACUGCAUCAGCAUAUUGGGAUUAUUUCUGAAGGAUCUUGUGAAAUCUAUUUGUGUAUGUGUGCAAGACAAUUGUGAGACAAAAAUGUUAUUUUAGUUUCUUAGACGUCCUGGCUGCUUAGAAAAGGAUUUGCAUUAAAUUAUUAGAAAGAGGACAUAGUUAGUCACCUUAAAUGGACUCCAAUUUUGGUGAGCUCGUGCAAAUUGUAGCCUCUUUUUCCUAUUUGUAGUGGAGAUGAGUGGUACCCGGUGGGGUCUUCUGCUGUUGUAGCCCAUCCGCCUCAAGGUUGUGCGUGUUGUGGCUUCACAAAUGCUUUGCUGCAUAC
rnacentral:lncRNA from 1 species